CUUGGAGUCCGAACUCUCACUUUCUAACCCUGUGCAUUUGUUUGGGAUAGUAACUCUCGCAAGAGAGCGAACUCCUAUUCACUUAUAAACACAAAGUCUAUGAAUGUAUUUAAUUUUAUAACAAAAUAAAACUUUCAACAACGGAUCUCUUGGCUCUCGCAUCGAUGAAGAACGCAGCGAAAUGCGAUAAGUAAUGUGAAUUGCAGAAUUCAGUGAAUCAUCGAAUCUUUGAACGCACCUUGCGCUCCAUGGUAUUCCGUGGAGCAUGCCUGUUUGAGUGUCAUGAAUACUUCAACCCUCCUCUUUCUUAAUGAUUGAAGAGGUGUUUGGAUUCUGAGCGCUGCUGGCCUUACGGUCUAGCUCGUUCGUAAUGCAUUAGCAUCCGCAAUCGAACUUCGGAUUGACUUGGCGUAAUAGACUAUUCGCUGAGGAAUUCUAAUCUUCGGAUUAGAGCCGGGUUAGGUUAAAGGAAGCUUCUAAUCAGAAUGUCUACAUUUUAAGAUUAGAUCUCAAAUCAGGUAGGACUACCCGCUGAACUUAAGCAUAUCAAUAA
rnacentral:rRNA from 1 species